rnacentral:rRNA from 1 species
UUUUGGACAAUGGGGGCAACCCUGAUCCAGCAAUGCCGCGUGAGUGAAGAAGGCCUUCGGGUUGUAAAGCUCUUUUGUCAGGGAAGAAACACCGGCUCUAACACAGUCAGGGAAUGACGGUACCUGAAGAAUAAGCACCGGCUAACUACGUGCCAGCAGCCGCGGUAAUACGUAGGGUGCAAGCGUUAAUCGGAAUUACUGGGCGUAAAGCGUGCGCAGGCGGUUAUACAAGACAGGCGUGAAAUCCCCGGGCUCAACCUGGGAACUGCAUUUGUGACUGUAUAGCUAGAGUACGGUAGAGGGGGAUGGAAUUCCGCGUGUAGCUGUGAAAUGCGUAGAUAUGCGGAGGAACACCGAUGGCGAAGGCAAUCCCCUGGACCUGUACUGACGCUCAUGCACGAA